rnacentral:lncRNA from 1 species
AUAAUUUAUGAAUAAUGAAAAAGCUGACACUGAAAUCUCAAAAAAUCUUCCAUUUCUCUUGAAGAAUAGGGUGAAGAUUCUUAAGAGUAGUGUCUCUGUCACUCCUGCUGUUGAAAAAAUCUCCAUGAUCUUCUUUGAGAAAAAGGACCUUCACCUAACUCAAUGUGGUCUGAAGUGCCUGCAAAAACUUUGAUUCCAACUUUUUUUUCAUCAUUUAAAUCUUGAAUGGGAACACAUACGGAAGUGAACAUAAUUGUGACUUGACACUUUUAAUUUUAAUUGGAAUGCUAGAUGAAAAACUAAUCAAGGAAAUCCAGGAGGCUUCUCCCAUUUCUGAAGAACUAUCUAGAGAUGUUUGGAACCACAGUUGCUUUUGAUCUGUGCCAUUUUGAGCCUUCUUUGAUGAAUGAUGUCAAAUGUCUUUUUUCUUUCACUCCCUUUGAAGAACCAUGCCAUUAUUCAUCAAAGCCCAAUUCAACCCUGAUGUUUUCUUCCAAUAUGUGUGCCAAGAAGAGAUCUGGAUGUUGGAUAAGUGCCUCUCUUUAUUCUAAGUGUGGGAGGGGAUUUAAAUUAUCUUGAAAAAGAGCUCCACAACUUUUCUACAUUUGGGGAAGCCUCAGCAAUGAGCAAUUACCAGUAAUUUUUUUGUUAUAUAUCCUAAAACAUUCAGUUUCAUUGCAUUAAUGCAAUUUACUGUAAGGUGCAAUUUUACUCAUAAUUUAAGAAAAAUGCCAAGGAAUGACAGAGUUAUUUUGUAAAAACUCUCCUCUCAUUCAUGUGGGGAUACUUCAUUUGUUUGGAAAGAACAUAUGUCUUUGAUGCUUUUCCCUCUCCCCUCACCCAAUCGUGGAUGAAGCAAGCUCACUUGGAUGGAAUUGCUUGCUCUCUUCCUUCUCAUUCAAGAAACCUUCUGAAACUUCAUUUCUUCAUUGUGGUGGAACAACUCCAAUUUCCUGGAUAUUAUAAAUUCAACCCCAGGCCUGGCGCAGUGGCUCACGCCUGUAAUCACAGCACUUUGGGAGGCCAAGGCAGGUGGAUCAUGAGGUCAAGAGAUCGAAACAAUCCUGGCCAACAUGGUGAAACCACGUUCCUGCUAAAAAUACAAAAAUUAGCUGGGCUUGGUGGUGUGAGCCUGUAG